rnacentral:rRNA from 1 species
AUUGAACGCUGGCAGCAGGCCUAACACAUGCAAGUCGAGCGCGAAAGUCUUCGGAUGAGUAAAGCGGCGAACGGGUGAGUAAUGCAUGGGAAUCUGCCUGGUAGUGGGGGACAACGUCUCGAAAGGGACGCUAAUACCGCAUACGCCCUACGGGGAAAGGGGGGGAGUCUUCGGACCUCUCGCUAUCAGAUGAGCCCAUGUCAGAUUAGCUAGUUGGUAGGGUAAAGGCCUACCAAGGCGACGAUCUGUAACUGGUCUGAGAGGAUGAUCAGUCACACUGGAACUGAGACACGGUCCAGACUCCUACGGGAGGCAGCAGUGGGGAAUAUUGGACAAUGGGCGCAAGCCUGAUCCAGCCAUGCCGCGGUGUGUGAAGAAGGCCCUUGGGUUGUAAAGCACUUUCAGUGGGGAGAAAGGUCUGGAACCUAAUACGUUUGGAAUUGAUGUUACCCACAGAAGAAGCACCGGCUAACUCCGUGCCAGCAGCCGCGGUAAU